rnacentral:tRNA from 1 species
CGCGGGGUAGAGCAGCCCGGUAGCUCGUCAGGCUCAUAGACCUGAAGGUCGCAGGUUCAAAUCCUGCCCCCGCAACCA